GACGAACGCUGGCGGCGUGCUUAACACAUGCCAGUCGAACGGAAAGGCCCCUUUGGGGGUACUCGAGUGGCGAACGGGUGCGUAACACGUGAGUAACCUGCCCUUGCCUUCGGGAUAACUUCAGGAAACUGGGGCUAAUACCGGAUAGGAAUCCUUGCUGCAUGGUGGGGGUUGGAAAGCUUCGGCGGUUUUUGAUGGACUCGCGGCUUAUCAGCUUGUUGGGGGGGUAGUGGCUUACCAAGGCUUUGACGGGUAGCCGGCCUGGGGGGGCGACCGGCCACAUUGGGACUGAGAUACGGCCCAGACUCCUACGGGAGGCAGCAGGGGGGAAGAUUGCACAAUGGGCGGAAGCCGGAUGCAGCAACGCCGCGUGCGGGAUGACGGCCUUCGGGUUGUAAACCGCUUUCAGCAGGGGCGAAGCUUGUGGUGACGGUACCUGCAGAAGAAGCACCGGCUAACUACGUG
rnacentral:rRNA from 1 species